CGGCGGCCGUAACUAUAACGGUCCUAAGGUAGCGAAAUUCCUUGUCGGUUAAAUACCGACCUGCAUGAAUGGCGUAACGAGAUGGGAGCUGUCUCAACCAGAGAUUCAGUGAAAUUGUAGUGGAGGUGAAAAUUCCUCCUACCCGCGGCAAGACGGAAAGACCCC
rnacentral:rRNA from 1 species